rnacentral:misc_RNA from 1 species
GAUCAAGGCACUACAAAGAUCCAUGGGCCCCUUUACUACAAUCUUAUAUACUCCCUUCUAUCAUUUGGUCAGGUUAUGGUGACAUUAUUAAAUUCAUAUUGGUUGAUCAUUUCAAGUCUUUAUGCUGCCAGAAGGUUGCAUGAUGCUAUGCUUAAUUCCAUAUUGAGAGCUCCAAUGGUCUUCUUUCACNCUUGGACGUAUUAUCAAUAGGUUUGCAAAGGAUCUUGGUGACAUUGAUAGGAAUGUUGCCCCAUUUGUGAAUAUGUUUCUGGGUCAAGUGUCACAGCUCCUUUCUACAUUUAUCCUCAUUGGAAUUGUGAGCACUAUGUCAUUGUGGGCCAUAAUGCCGCUUUUAGUUCUGUUUUAUGGAGCCUAUCUAUAUUAUCAGAGCACAGCCCGCGAAGUAAAGCGCUUGGAUUCUAUAAGUAGAUCACCUGUUUAUGCACAAUUUGGAGAAGCUCUAAACGGUCUGUCAACUAUUCGUGCAUACAAAGCUUAUGAUCGGAUGGCCGACAUCAAUGGUAGAUCUAUGGACAACAGUAUCAGAUUCACCCUUGUCAACAUGAGUGCAAAUCGUUGGCUUGCUAUCCGUCUGGAAACAUUGGGAGGCAUUAUGAUUUGGCUUACAGCAACCUUUGCUGUGAUGCAGAAUGGAAGGGCAGAGAACCAACAGGCAUUUGCAUCUACAAUGGGUCUACUUCUCAGCUAUGCCUUAAAUAUUACUGGUUUACUGACCGGUGUACUAAGACUUGCAAGUUUGGCUGAGAAUAGUUUAAAUGCUGUAGAGCGGAUUGGCACAUAUAUAGAUUUGCCAUCAGAGGCCCCUCCAAUUAUUGAGGGCAACCGCCCCCCUCCAGGUUGGCCUUCAUCAGGAUCAAUCAAGUUUGAGGGUGUUGUCCUGCGUUACAGACCUGAACUUCCACCUGUCUUACAUGGACUGUCCUUUAUGGUUUCUCCAAGUGACAAAGUUGGGAUAGUUGGAAGGACUGGAGCAGG